rnacentral:tRNA from 1 species
GGGGCUAUAGCGCAGCUGGUAGCGCAUCUGCUUUGCAAGCAGAGGGUCGCCGGUUCGAGUCCGGCUAGCUCCA